UACGAGUUUGAUCCUGGCUCAGGAUGAACGCUAGCGGCAGGCUUAAUACAUGCAAGUCAAGGGGGUAGCAAUACAACCGGCGCACGGGUGAGUAACGCGUACACAACAUACCAUAUACUGGAGUAUAGCUUUGGGAAACUGAAGGUAAUCCUCCAUAACAUUGCGAGAGGGCAUCUGAUUGCAAUUAAAGUUUCGGCGGUAUAUGAUUGGUGUGCGUUUGAUUAGCUAGUUGGUAGGGUAACGGCCUACCAAGGCGACGAUCAAUAGCUGGCGUGAGAGCGCGACCAGCCACACUGGAACUGAGACACGGUCCAGACUCCUACGGGAGGCAGCAGUAGGGAAUAUUGGACAAUGGAGGAAACUCUGAUCCAGCCAUGCCGCGUGAUAGAUGAAGGCCCUCUGGGUUGUAAAUAUCUUUUAUCUGGGAAGAAACACUCCUAUUCUUAGGAACUUGACGGUACCAGAGGAAUAAGCACCGGCUAACUCCGUG
rnacentral:rRNA from 1 species